AUUGAACGCUGGCGGCAUGCUUUACACAUGCAAGUCGAACGGUAACAGGCCGCAAGGUGCUGACGAGUGCCGAACGGGUGAGUAAUGCAUCGGAACGUGCCCAGUCGUGGGGGAUAACUACUCGAAAGAGUAGCUAAUACCGCAUACGAUCUAUGGAUGAAAGCGGGGGACCGUAAGGCCUCGCGCGAUUGGAGCGGCCGAUGUCAGAUUAGGUAGUUGGUGGGGUAAAGGCUCACCAAGCCAACGAUCUGUAGCUGGUCUGAGAGGACGACCAGCCACACUGGGACUGAGACACGGCCCAGACUCCUACGGGAGGCAGCAGUGGGGAAUUUUGGACAAUGGGCGCAAGCCUGAUCCAGCAAUGCCGCGUGCAGGAAGAAGGCCUUCGGGUUGUAAACUGCUUUUGUACGGAACGAAACGGCUCUGGUUAAUACCCGGGGCUAAUGACGGUACCGUAAGAAUAAGCACCGGCUAACUACGUG
rnacentral:rRNA from 1 species